GACGAACGCUGGCGGCGUGCUUAACACAUGCAAGUCGAACGGAAAGGCCCUGCUUUUGUGGGGUGCUCGAGUGGCGAACGGGUGAGUAACACGUGAGUAACCUGCCCUUGACUUUGGGAUAACUUCAGGAAACUGGGGCUAAUACCGGAUAGGAGCUCCUGCUGCAUGGUGGGGGUUGGAAAGUUUCGGCGGUUGGGGAUGGACUGGCGGCUUAUCAGCUUGUUGGUGGGGUAGUGGCUUACCAAGGCAUUGACGGGUAGCCGGCCUGGGAGGGUGACCGGCCACAUUGGGACUGAGAUACGGCCCAGACUCCUACGGGAGGCAGCAGUGGGGAAUAUUGCACAAUGGGCGGAAGCCUGAUGCAGCAACGCCGCGUGCGGGAUGACGGCCUUCGGGUUGUAAACCGCUUUCGCCUGUGACGAAGCGUGAGUGACGGUAAUGGGUAAAGAAGCACCGGCUAACUACGUG
rnacentral:rRNA from 1 species